rnacentral:rRNA from 1 species
AUGAACGCUAGCGACAGGCUUAACACAUGCAAGUCGAGGGGCAGCACAGGUAGCAAUACCGGGUGGCGACCGGCGCACGGGUGAGUAACGCGUAUGCAACUUGCCUAUCAGAGGGGGAUAACCCGGCGAAAGUCGGACUAAUACCGCAUGAAGCAGGGGCCCCGCAUGGGGAUAUUUGCUAAAGAUUCAUCGCUGAUAGAUAGGCAUGCGUUCCAUUAGGCAGUUGGCGGGGUAACGGCCCACCAAACCGACGAUGGAUAGGGGUUCUGAGAGGAAGGUCCCCCACAUUGGUACUGAGACACGGACCAAACUCCUACGGGAGGCAGCAGUGAGGAAUAUUGGUCAAUGGCCGAGAGGCUGAACCAGCCAAGUCGCGUGAGGGAUGAAGGUUCUAUGGAUCGUAAACCUCUUUUAUAAGGGAAUAAAGUGCGGGACGUGUCCCGUUUUGUAUGUACCUUAUGAAUAAGGAUCGGCUAACUCCGUGCCAGCAGCCGCGGUAAUACGGAGGAUCCGAGCGUUAUCCGGAUUUAUUGGGUUUAAAGGGUGCGUAGGCGGCAUUUUAAGUCAGCGGUGAAAGUCUGUGGCUCAACCAUAGAAUUGCCGUUGAAACUGGGGGGCUUGAGUAUGUUUGAGGCAGGCGGAAUGCGUGGUGUAGCGGUGAAAUGCAUAGAUAUCACGCAGAACCCCGAUUGCGAAGGCAGCCUGCCAAGCCAUUACUGACGCUGAUGCACGAAAGCGUGGGGAUCAAACAGGAUUAGAUACCCUGGUAGUCCACGCAGUAAACGAUGAUCACUAGCUGUUUGCGAUACACUGUAAGCGGCACAGCGAAAGCGUUAAGUGAUCCACCUGGGGAGUACGCCGGCAACGGUGAAACUCAAAGGAAUUGACGGGGGCCCGCACAAGCGGAGGAACAUGUGGUUUAAUUCGAUGAUACGCGAGGAACCUUACCCGGGUUUGAACGCAUUCGGACCGAGGUGGAAACACCUUUUCUAGCAAUAGCCGUUUGCGAGGUGCUGCAUGGUUGUCGUCAGCUCGUGCCGUGAGGUGUCGGCUUAAGUGCCAUAACGAGCGCAACCCUUGCCACUAGUUACUAACAGGUUAGGCUGAGGACUCUGGUGGGACUGCCAGCGUAAGCUGCGAGGAAGGCGGGGAUGACGUCAAAUCAGCACGGCCCUUACAUCCGGGGCGACACACGUGUUACAAUGGCGUGGACAAAGGGAUGCCACCUGGCGACAGGGAGCGAAUCCCCAAACCACGUCUCAGUUCGGAUCGGAGUCUGCAACCCGACUCCGUGAAGCUGGAUUCGCUAGUAAUCGCGCAUCAGCCAUGGCGCGGUGAAUACGUUCCCGGGCCUUGUACACACCGCCCGUCAAGCCAUGGGAGCCGGGGGUACCUGAAGUCCGUAACCGAAAGGAUCGGCCUAGGGUAAAACUGGUGACUGGGGCU